GACGAACGCUGGCGGCGUGCUUAACACAUGCAAGUCGAACGGAAAGGCCCUGCUUUUGUGGGGUGCUCGAGUGGCGAACGGGUGAGUAACACGUGAGUAACCUGCCCUUGACUUUGGGAUAACUUCAGGAAACUGGGGCUAAUACCGGAUAGGAGCUCCUGCUGCAUGGUGGGGGUUGGAAAGUUUCGGCGGUUGGGGAUGGACUCGCGGCUUAUCAGCUUGUUGGUGGGGUAGUGGCUUACCAAGGCUUUGACGGGUAGCCGGCCUGAGAGGGUGACCGGCCACAUUGGGACUGAGAUACGGCCCAGACUCCUACGGGAGGCAGCAGUGGGGAAUAUUGCACAAUGGGCGGAAGCCUGAUGCAGCAACGCCGCGUGCGGGAUGACGGCCUUCGGGUUGUAAACCGCUUUCGCCUGUGACGAAGCGUGAGUGGCGGUAAUGGGUAAAGAAGCACCGGCUAACUACGUGC
rnacentral:rRNA from 1 species